rnacentral:misc_RNA from 1 species
UCUCCGUUGGUGAACCAGCGGAGGGAUCAUUACUGGAAUCGCAAGAUCCCACAACCCCUGUGAACCUACCGAAACGUUGCCUCGGCGGGGGCCCGGCCCUGCGCCGGGCGCUGAACCCGCCGGCGGCCCCCUACUCUUGUCUCCGCAGCGUGGCAUAUCAGAGUCCCAGAAAACAAGUAAAAACUUUCAGCAACGGAUCUCUUGGCUCUA